AGUGAACGCUGGCGGUAGGCCUAACACAUGCAAGUCGAACGGCAGCACAGUAAGAGCUUGCUCUUACGGGUGGCGAGUGGCGGACGGGUGAGGAAUACAUCGGAAUCUACUUUUUCGUGGGGGAUAACGUAGGGAAACUUACGCUAAUACCGCAUACGACCUACGGGUGAAAGCAGGGGAUCUUCGGACCUUGCGCGAUUGAAUGGGCCGAUUUCGGAUUAGCUAGUUGGCGGGGUAAAGGCCCACCAAGGCGACGAUCCGUAGCUGGUCUGAGAGGAUGAUCAGCCACACUGGAACUGAGACACGGUCCAGACUCCUACGGGAGGCAGCAGUGGGGAAUAUUGGACAAUGGGCGCAAGCCUGAUCCAGCCAUACCGCGUGGGUGAAGAAGGCCUUCGGGUUGUAAAGCCCUUUUGUUGGGAAAGAAAAGCAGCAGGUUAAUACCCCGCUGUUCUGACGGUACCCAAAGAAUAAGCACCGGCUAACUUCGUG
rnacentral:rRNA from 1 species